rnacentral:rRNA from 1 species
AGUCGAGGGGCAGCAUCAUCAAAGCUUGCUUUGAUGGAUGGCGACCGGCGCACGGGUGAGUAACACGUAUCCAACCUGCCGACAACACUGGGAUAGCCUUUCGAAAGAAAGAUUAAUACCGGAUGGCAUAGUUUUUCCGCAUGGGAUAAUUAUUAAAGAAUUUCGGUUGUCGAUGGGGAUGCGUUCCAUUAGGCAGUUGGCGGGGUAACGGCCCACCAAACCAACGAUGGAUAGGGGUUCUGAGAGGAAGGUCCCCCACAUUGGAACUGAGACACGGUCCAAACUCCUACGGGAGGCAGCAGUGAGGAAUAUUGGUCAAUGGACGAGAGUCUGAACCAGCCAAGUAGCGUGAAGGAUGACUGCCCUAUGGGUUGUAAACUUCUUUUAUACGGGAAUAAAGUUAGCCACGUGUGGCUUUUUGUAUGUACCGUAUGAAUAAGGAUCGGCUAACUCCGUGCCAGCAGCCGCGGUAAUACGGAGGAUCCGAGCGUUAUCCGGAUUUAUUGGGUUUA